UCUGGUGAUGAUGGCAUGGAAGUAACACUCCUACCCAUUCCGAACAGGAAAGUUAAGAUCCAUAGCGCCGAAGGUACUGC
rnacentral:rRNA from 1 species